GUAGUCUCGCACAGAUGCAUAUCAAUAAGCGGAGGAAAAGAAACUAACAAGGAUUCCCCUAGUAACGGCGAGUGAAGCGGGAAGAGCUCAAAUUUGAAAUCUUAAAGGGUUUCCCUUUACGAAUUGUAGUUUAAAGAAGUGUUUUCUGUUGAGGUUUUGGUAAAAGUUCUUUGGAAUAGGACAUCAUAGAGGGUGAGAAUCCCGUAUUUGACCUUUACUUUCAACUUUGUGAUACACUUUCAAAGAGUCGGAUUGUUUGGGAAUGCAGUCCAAAAUGGGUGGUAAAUUUCAUCUAAAGCUAAAUAUUGGCGAGAGACCGAUAGCGAACAAGUACCGUGAGGGAAAGAUGGAAAAGAACUUUGAAAAGAGAGUUAAACAGUACGUGAAAUUGUCAAAAGGGAAGCGUUUGACACCAGUGUUGUUUUUCUGAAAAUCAAUUAAAGAACUGUUUAUGCUAAGCUGUUUAGACUUUAUCAGCUAUCUGUUUAGUUUUGAGCUUUUCUUUAAUGCACUUUUCAGUUAACAAGUCAACAUCAAUUUCUUUUGCUGUAAAAAAGCUUGAGGAAGGUGGCUUGAGAUUCGUCUUAAGUGUUUAUAGCCUCUUGCCUAGUGCAGUCGGAGAGAUUGAGGUCUGCAGCGUAGAUCCUUCGGGGCUAAAUGCAUUUGUGCUAAGUUAUAGCAUUUUAUAGACAACUUGUUGACUAUGAUUUGUCUUGUAGCUUACUCGCUUAUGUUAUUUUACCUACGCUUAGGAUGUUGAAGACUCUACAGAGAUA
rnacentral:rRNA from 1 species